GCCCGGCUAGCUCAAUCGGUAGAGCGUGAGACUCUUAGCAAUCUCACGAUUUCUGAUAAAUCUCAAGGUUGUGGGGUAGGUUUAAACAUUUACACCACGCGUUCGAAUCUUGUAUUAACGAUUGCCUUAGUUCGACCCCCACGUCGGGCU